UUCUAAGGGCGGUGAAGUCAGACCGGAAGGACUGGUGGAGCGCUUAGAAGUGAGAAUGCCGGUAUGAGUAGCGAAAGAAGGGUGAGAAUCCCUUCCACCGAAUAUCUAAGGUUUCCUGAGGAAGGCUCGUCCGCUCAGGGUUAGUCGGGACCUAAGCCGAGGCCGAUAGGCGUAGGCGAUGGACAACAGGUAGAGAUUCCUGUACCAGUGCUAAUUGUUUAACCGAUGGGGUGACACAGAAGGAUAGGGAAUCGCACGAAUGGAAAUGUGCGUCCAAGCAGUGAGUGUGAGAAGUAGGCAAAUCCGCUUCUCGCGAAGCAUGAGCUGUGAUGGGGAAGGAAAUUAAGUACGGAAGUUCCUGAUUUCACGCUGUCAAGAAAAGCCUCUAGGAAGAGUAGUACUGCCCGUACCGCAAACC
rnacentral:rRNA from 1 species